rnacentral:tRNA from 1 species
GCCGCCUUAGCUCAGUUGGUUAGAGCGCCGGUUUGUGGAACCGGAGGUCCUCAGUUCAAACCUGAGAGGCGGUACCA